rnacentral:rRNA from 2 species
AGGUGUUGUUGGGUAGGGGAGCGUUCUGUAAGCCUGCGAAGGUGGCCUGUGAGGGUUGCUGGAGGUAUCAGAAGUGCGAAUGCUGACAUAAGUAACGAUAAAGCGGGUGAAAAGCCCGCUCGCCGGAAGACCAAGGGUUCCUGUCCAACGUUAAUCGGGGCAGGGUGAGUCGACCCCUAAGGCGAGGCCGAAAGGCGUAGUCGAUGGGAAACGGGUUAAUAUUCCCGUACUUGGUGUUACUGCGAAGGGGGGACGGAGAAGGCUAUGUUGGCCGGGCGACGGUUGUCCCGGUUUAAGCGUGUAGGUGUGUGUUCCAGGUAAAUCCGGUUCACUUUAACACUGAGGCGUGACGACGAGGCACUACGGUGCUGAAGCAACAAAUGCCCUGCUUCCAGGAAAAGCCUCUAAGCAUCAGGUAACAUCAAAUCGUACCCCAAACCGACACAGGUGGUCAGGUAGAGAAUACCAAGGCGCUUGAGAGAACUCGGGUGAAGGAACUAGGCAAAAUGGUGCCGUAACUUCGGGAGAAGGCACGCUGACACGUAGGUGAAGUGAUUUACUCAUGGAGCUGAAGUCAGUCGAAGAUACCAGCUGGCUGCAACUGUUUAUUAAAAACACAGCACUGUGCAAACACGAAAGUGGACGUAUACGGUGUGACGCCUGCCCGGUGCCGGAAGGUUAAUUGAUGGGGUCAGCGCAAGCGAAGCUCCUGAUCGAAGCCCCGGUAAACGGCGGCCGUAACUAUAACGGUCCUAAGGUAGCGAAAUUCCUUGUCGGGUAAGUUCCGACCUGCACGAAUGGCGUAAUGAUGGCCAGGCUGUCUCCACCCGAGACUCAGUGAAAUUGAACUCGCUGUGAAGAUGCAGUGUACCCGCGGCAAGACGGAAAGACCCCGUGAACCUUUACUAUAGCUUGACACUGAACAUUGAGCCUUGAUGUGUAGGAUAGGUGGGAGGCUUUGAAGUGUGGACGCCAGUCUGCAUGGAGCCGACCUUGAAAUACCACCCUUUAAUGUUU